GGCUCAGGAUGAACGCUAGCGGCAGGCUUAAUACAUGCAAGUCGUGGGGCAGCGCGGGUAGCAAUACCUGGCGGCGACCGGCAAACGGGUGCGGAACACGUACGCAACCUUCCUUUAAGUGAGGAAUAGCCCAGGGAAACUUGGAUUAAUACCUCGUAACAUUAUGAGAUGGCAUCAUCUUAUAAUUAUAGCUACGGCGCUUAAAGAUGGGCGUGCGGCUGAUUAGGUAGUUGGCGGGGUAACGGCCCACCAAGCCUACGAUCAGUAACUGGUGUGAGAGCACGACCAGUCACACGGGCACUGAGACACGGGCCCGACUCCUACGGGAGGCAGCAGUAAGGAAUAUUGGUCAAUGGACGCAAGUCUGAACCAGCCAUGCCGCGUGGAGGAUGAAGGUCCUCUGGAUUGUAAACUUCUUUUAUCUGGGAAGAAACCCAUGUUUUCUAACGUGGUUGACGGUACCAGAUGAAUAAGCACCGGCUAACUCCGUGCCAGCAGCCGCGGUAAUACGGAGGGUGCAAGCGUUAUCCGGAUUCACUGGGUUUAAAGGGUGCGUAGGUGGGCAGGUAAGUCAGUGGUGAAAUCUCUGGGCUUAACCCAGAAACUGCCGUUGAUACUAUCUGUCUUGAAUAUAGUGGAGGUGAGCGGAAUAUGUCAUGUAGCGGUGAAAUGCUUAGAUAUGACAUAGAACACCCAUUGCGAAGGCAGCUCGCUACACUAUUAUUGACACUGAGGCACGAAAGCGUGGGGAUCAAACAGGAUUAGAUACCCUGGUAGUCCACGCCCUAAACGAUGGAUACUCGACAUCAGCGAUACACUGUUGGUGUCUGAGCGAAAGCAUUAAGUAUCCCACCUGGGAAGUACGA
rnacentral:rRNA from 1 species